rnacentral:rRNA from 1 species
UACGUAGGUGACAAGCGUUGUCCGGAUUUACUGGGCGUAAAGGGCUCGUAGGUGGCCAACUAAGUCAGACGUGAAAUCCCUCGGCUUAACCGGGGAACUGCGUCUGAUACUGGAUGGCUUGAGUUCGGGAGAGGGAUGCGGAAUUCCAGGUGUAGCGGUGAAAUGCGUAGAUAUCUGGAGGAACACCGGUGGCGAAGGCGGGUCUCUGGGCCGAUACUGACGCUGAGGAGCGAAAGCGUGGGGAGCGAACAGG